rnacentral:rRNA from 1 species
AGUGAACGCUGGCGGUAGGCCUAACACAUGCAAGUCGAACGGCAGCACAGUAAGAGCGUGCGAUUACGGGUGGCGAGUGGCGGGCGGGUGAGGAAUACAACGGAAUCUACUUUUUCGUGGGGGAUAACGAAAGGAAACUUAAGCUAAGACAGCAUACGACCGACGAGGGAAAGGAGGGGAAAUUUGGACCUGUCGGGAUUGAAUGAGCCGCUGACGGAUUAGCUAGUGGGGGGGGUAACGGCCCACCAAGGCGACGAGCCGGAGCUCGUCUGAGAGGCUGAUCAGCCACACUGGAACUGGGACACGGUCCAGACUCCUACGGUACGCAGCAGUCGGGAAUAUUGGACAAUGGUCGCAAGCCUGAUCCAGCCAUACCGCGUGUGUGAAGACGGCCUUCCGGUUGUGAAGCCCCUUUGUUGGUAGAGAACAGCAUCAGGUUAAUACCCCGCUGUUCUGACGGUACCCGAAGAAUAAGCACCGGCUAACUUCGUG